UACGUAGGCAGCAAGCGUUGUUCGGAAUUACUGGGCGUAAAGAGUGUGUAGGCGGUGCUCUAAGUCUGUUGUGAAAUCUCCCGGCUUAACUGGGAGGGUGCGGCGGAGACUGGAGUGCUAGAGUGUGGGAGAGGUAAGCGGAAUUCCUGGUGUAGCGGUGAAAUGCGUAGAUAUCUGGAGGAACACCGGUGGCGAAGGCGGCAUCCUGGACCAACACUGACACUGAGGAGCGAAAGCCAGGGGAGCAAACGGG
rnacentral:rRNA from 1 species